rnacentral:rRNA from 1 species
AACGAACGCUGGCGGCAGGCCUAACACAUGCAAGUCGAGCGCCCCGCAAGGGGAGCGGCAGACGGGUGAGUAACGCGUGGGAACCUUCCCAGUGGUACGGAAUAGCCCAGGGAAACUUGGAGUAAUUCCGUAUACGCCCCGGGACUUGAUUCGGGGGAAAGAUUUAUCGCCAUUGGAUGGGCCCGCGUCGGAUUAGCUAGUUGGUGAGGUAACGGCUCACCAAGGCGACGAUCCGUAGCUGGUCUGAGAGGAUGAUCAGCCACACUGGGACUGAGACACGGCCCAGACUCCUACGGGAGGCAGCAGUGGGGGAUAUUGGACAAUGGGCGCAAGCCUGAUCCAGCCAUGCCGCGUGAGUGACGAAGGCCUUAGGG